UAUGGAAAAUCGCUAGUCAAAAAUUCCGCCAAAAGUAUUCCCUGUGACGUCACAAUGAACAGUCAUUGUAGUCUGUUCAUUUUGUGAAAAUGGGAUAUUCAUUGAAAUAUGCAUUUAGACGUCUUAUUAGCUAUGUAAAACAUGCAGUGUUUUGCUUUCUAGUAUGACGAAUUAAUUUAUAAAAGUUUACAACGCUAGAAAUUGGCCAUCAUCUCUAUAAGUCGUAUUUUCCUAAAUCCCAGUAUGAUUCUCGCGCAUGCCCACUUCACAAUCAGCGUGUUUCGAAAGCUUGAACGGUGGAAAAAUGGCAGGCAGGUGCGUUGAAAUUAUCUGGAAACAAAGAACGAAAUACAGCCUCCAACACCUCUGUGCAACUUAGUGAUGGGUGGUGAAAUUCCCAAAUCCAACUGAACUUUGUGGUCUUUCUUUUUGAGAUGGAUUGUCUCCUGUCAAAAGAAUUGAUAAGGUGUUAGCAACACAGUGCAACGCAGAAGGCCCUGUUGAAAUUCAAAGUUAAAUUGGAGACUGUUAAGAUUCCCUCUCAGUAGCAUGUCUGUGGUGAUCAUCUCCUGUAAGAGUAGAUCUAUCAAAACUUGCUCCAUCUGCGCUUUUGGCAUUAUCUAGCAAUAAUUGUUCCAUGUUUGAAAGAUGUCUGUCCUGGUCUACUACCAACAAUGGCGGGGUUGAAACGGUUUCAUUUUGAGGUGGAGAAUCACGAACAGCUCCAUUUUGAGCAGGGGAUCCUAGAACAAUGUUUCAAUAAUGAUUACAAGAUUUCAUGCUAUGAGAAGAGGAAGAGCUUUCUUUGUCAGAUGAUUCUACAGCCAUGCAGGCAUUGUGGUUUUGAACAUCCAUAGGAAUAGCAUGCUCAUCUGAAAUAGUUCCAUGUUUGAAAGAUGUCUGUCCUGGUCUACUACCAACAAUGGCGGGGUUGAAACGGUUCCAUUUUGAGGUGGAGAAUCACGAACAGCUCCAUUUUGAGCAGGGGAUCCUAGAACAAUGUUUCAAUAAUGAUUACAAGAUUUCAUGCUGUGGGUAAAGGAAAAUCUUUCUUUGUCUGACAAUUCUUCAUGAGUAGCAACCAUGCAUACAUCUGCAGACAUGCAAGCAUUUUGGUUAUGAAUAUCCUUAAGGCUAUCCUGCUCAUCUGAAAUAGUUCCAUGUUUGAAAGAUGUCUGUCCUGGUCUACUACCAACAAUGGCGGGGUUGAAACGGUUCCAUUUUGAGGUGGAGAAUCACGAACAGCUCCAUUUUGAGCAGGGGAUCCUAGAACAAUGUUUCAAUAAUGAUUACAAGAUUUCAUGCUAUGAGAAGAGGAAGAGCUUUCUUUGUCAGAUGAUUCUACAGCCAUGCAGGCAUUGUGGUUUUGAACAUCCAUAGGAAUAGCAUGCUCAUCUGAAAUAGUUCCAUGUUUGAAAGAUGUCUGUCCUGGUCUACUACCAACAAUGGCGGGGUUGAAACGGUUCCAUUUUGAGGUGGAGAAUCACGAACAGCUCCAUUUUGAGCAGGGGAUCCUAGAACAAUGUUUCAAUAAUGAUUACAAGGUAUAAUUGAUAUUGAUUCUUUUGAUAUUUGAAAAUCAUUGGUUAUCUCUAUUCCAUUGAAUAAAUGAAA